UUAAAAAAAAAUAUAUAUCAAAGAACAUCCCCCAAUGCAUGAAUCGGGCGUUGUGCGCCGAUCUUUGGCGCAACCAUAAUCAAACUACCCGCCAUGUUAGGAAAUGCGUAUCUGAUCACAAUUUUCCAUAUUGAUUUUAUGCAGUUUUACCUUGGAAACUCACAUGUAUCUCAGAAUAUGCGCAAACCAAUAUUGGAAUGCGCUUGAGCCAAAAGAUGCAAGAACCUGCUCAUCCGCCAUAUUGUGCAGGACAUUAAAUCAUUCCAAUCUUGACAUUGAAGUUGUGUCAUUUAAUGAGUAACCAUCUAUCGGAAUUUCUUAUAUUUCAAAGUGAUUGAAGCUCUUUCCUACACUUGUCCACAGUUUUGUGGGAAACGCGCAUGAGCUUUAAAAUGCAACCCCGAGAAGCUGCACAUCCGCCAUAUUGUGCAAGGUAUUAAAUCAAUCAAGUAGUGAUAUUUAAAGAGUAAACAUCUGUCAGAAUUUGUUGUAUUUCAUAAGCUGUUUCCUAUACUAGUCCAC